GAAUGGAGGGGGAGUCAUUUGGGAGGAGCAGACAGGUGGGAGACGUUUAACAUGACCUUGAACUUACGAAAGCAUGUUUUGACACUUGUCAUGAAUGUUGGGCCCGCUCAGUCUCCUCUGUUUCCCUUCCUUGGCCUUUCUGUCUGUCUAUAGGUUUGUUCCUUUGUAGGUUCCUGUUGAAAUCUGUAGGUAGCUGUUCGCUUUGAAUGUAAUUAAGAAAGAGGACGAAAACUAUCCAUUUGGAUCCAAGGUCUGCCUGUGAUUUCAGCUGUAGGGCUUAUCAACACUGGAAGCAAGGAAGGAGGAGGAAAUUGCACCAGAUCAGUCAGGUCCAUCUCCAGCGGUGGCUGUGGAGGCCUUGGAGUGGCGGAAGAUUACCACUCUCAACAGAUCUGCUCUCAGGACCCAUCACCUUCCCUCGGCCUGAGUGCCUCUGCCCUCUGUCCGUAUCAGUGACAGAGGCUGUGUGUUUGGCAAGGGGACUGCAUGCCUGCUGAACCGACAGUUGACUCUAACUCUUGCUACAAAGUUUCUCUCUGACCCAGUGAAAGAGUGUCAAGACAUCUGCCUGGGACAGGUUGAGAGCCAAGGCCAAGACUGUAUAGGGCUACC
rnacentral:lncRNA from 1 species